GGGAUGGCAGGUGUAGAUCGUGAUGGCAGGCGCGGGUUGCGGGCCGUGGCUGCGUCCCGUGAGCUCGCAGCUCGGAUCCUCUCGGUCUCGUCGUGGCCCCGGCCGCAGAAGAGGCGUUCCCGGUCCCCGUGACCACCGGUACUGAUGUCCAUAAUCCCUGCUUCUGGCGACAAUAUUUCGACUUACCUGUGCAUGCGCGUGUUGGUGAAGACACCUGAUGGUUGUUAUUAAGCAGAAUGCUCUGCUAUUCUGACCACGUGGGCAGCAGGGAAGCAAUGAUCACUGAAGAAACACGUGGCCCUUCGCUCAGCCAAGCUCACUAAAGCCAAGCUUACAAGGAUGCUCAUCACAUCAACGUGACAGGCCCUGUAUGGCCCAGGGAAGUGCUUUGCUUCAGUGUGGAGCUGGGUGGGAUCCCCAGGGAUAUGGCUGGGCUCCCCCUGGGACUCGCAGGAGAACUGUUUGCUCCAAGGAGAUGACUGCCCUGGGAAAAAGCUCCAGGAAUGUACUUGUGUACCCUCGAGAGACAGUUGUGUGGUUAACAAACGUGCUUGGGUUCCACAAAGAGAUGUGUGGAUGUCAGGAACGCGUUCGGUUACCACAAAAUUACCCUUGGUGAAAUGAGGAGAUGCGUUUUGUUUUGUUCAUGUGAAGAAACCCACGUCUGUGUGCAGCCAGUUCUGCAAGCAGAGUUGGUGGGAACUGAUGUGGAAACAUCCAGCAAUGGCUUUGUCUUGGGAAAAGCUGAGAUUUUAACUUGAGUAGUGGAAGUCCCUUGUGACUGAUGAGAGAAGUGGCAGGUUAGGAGGGCUGGGAUGAAGGUUGCCCAUACUGUAUCUAACAAAAAUCCUUUCCCCACCUAUUCAGACUUCAAAUGCAACAGUCUGAAUCAAUAUGAACGGGAGAUUGUUGAUACUGCUUAUUCCUGAAGCAGAAAAACAAAGAAUGCUGGAAAAAAAAAAAAAA